CACACUGGUAAAGAGGACAUCUACUUGUGCCCACUUCCUGCCAGAGGGAUGGUCCACAGGAACCGAAGAUCAGCCCCUUAAACAGGCAAUCGGCAACCAUGUGACCAAUGAUGACUUACUGCAAUCCGGGAGAGUAGAGAACCAUACCAAUCUCCCUGAUUAGACCACAUGUGCUCUUCAGAGAUGACAAGGAUAUGAAUAGUGUGUCUUCAUCUAUACUAUCAAAUCACACUUCAGAAAUAGACUUUUUCAAACAAAAUUUGCCCAUGUGCUUCGUGUGGUUUGAGGACAGUUCAAGACACAACACAGGGAAUCUUCAUCUGUGGGGUUUUUUUUCUAGUGGAAAGAACAAAUUGGUGGGUGAAUUUCCUUCCCUUUUAGUAGUGUUUCCACAACAGCUCCCAAGUACUUUCCAUUUAAUGCUACCAGUUCCCAUUUCUUUUUGAGAUCCAAGUCCAAUUUGUGCUAGGAAGUAAAGAGUUACCAAAUUAGUCUCCAAGAUGAGCAGAAAGACUAGAUUCCAACUACUGCCAUUUCCUGGAUCUUCACACUUACUCAUUCAUAUUAAUACUGAGACACAAAAAUUUCUGCCCCAUUUAAAUUCAAAGCCACAGUAAAGUGAAGGUAUUUUCCAACAAAACAAACACCGAGAUAUCUAUAAAUAUCUUCCUAUUUUUGUUUAUAGUCAUCCACAUGCUACAAAAUAAUGCUCAAGGUGGCAGUAAGUUUUCUCCCCUUCUCUGCAAAUGGUAUGGCCAUCUGAAUAGAAACUUAUUUGAUUUCCCCCUAUCAGAAAGUAUUAGGUAGUUUUAUUUGACAAUGCUGAGUCCAAUCUAGUAGGAUACAAUCCUAACUUCUAAAAGCAGCUGUCCACAACCUUUUUGGCACUAGGGUCCAGUUUCGUGGAAGACGAUUUUUCCAUGGACAGUUGGGAGGGGGCAUCUCUUAGAGAUGAAACUGUUUUACCUCAGAUCAUCAGGCAAUAGAUUCUCACAAGGAACGUGCAACCUAGAUCCCUCGCAUGCACAGUUCACAAUGGGAUUUGCCCUCCUGUGAGAAUCUAAUGCCGCAGCUGAUCUGAG
rnacentral:lncRNA from 10 species